rnacentral:rRNA from 1 species
UACGUAGGGUGCAAGCGUUAAUCGGAAUUACUGGGCGUAAAGCGUGCGCAGGCGGUGAUGUAAGACAGAUGUGAAAUCCCCGGGCUCAACCUGGGAACUGCAUUUGUGACUGCAUCGCUGGAGUGCGGCAGAGGGGGAUGGAAUUCCACGUGUAGCAGUGAAAUGCGUAGAGAUGUGGAGGAAUACCGAUGGCGAAGGCAGCCUCCUGGGCCAACACUGACGCUCAUGCACGAAAGCGUGGGGAGCAAACAGAA